rnacentral:rRNA from 1 species
UGCAAGUCGAGCGGAAACGAGUUAUCUGAACCUUCGGGGAACGAUAACGGCGUCGAGCGGCGGACGGGUGAGUAAUGCCUAGGAAAUUGCCCUGAUGUGGGGGAUAACCAUUGGAAACGAUGGCUAAUACCGCAUAAUGCCUACGGGCCAAAGAGGGGGACCUUCGGGCCUCUCGCGCCAGGAUAUGCCUAGGUGGGAUUAGCUAGUUGGUGAGGUAAUGGCUCACCAAGGCGACGAUCCCUAGCUGGUCUGAGAGGAUGAUCAGCCACACUGGAACUGAGACACGGUCCAGACUCCUACGGGAGGCAGCAGUGGGGAAUAUUGCACAAUGGGCGCAAGCCUGAUGCAGCCAUGCCGCGUGUGUGAAGAAGGCCUUCGGGUUGUAAAGCACUUUCAGUCGUGAGGAAGGUAGUGUAGUUAAUAGCUGCAUUAUUUGACGUUAGCGACAGAAGAAGCACCGGCUAACUCCGUGCCAGCAGCCGCGGUAAUACGGAGGGUGCGAGCGUUAAUCGGAAUUACUGGGCGUAAAGCGCAUGCAGGUGGUUUGUUAAGUCAGAUGUGAAAGCCCGGGGCUCAACCUCGGAAUUGCAUUUGAAACUGGCAGACUAGAGUACUGUAGAGGGGGGUAGAAUUUCAGGUGUAGCGGUGAAAUGCGUAGAGAUCUGAAGGAAUACCGGUGGCGAAGGCGGCCCCCUGGACAGAUACUGACACUCAGAUGCGAAAGCGUGGGGAGCAAACAGGAU